UGGGGAAUUGUUCACAAUGGGCGCAAGCCUGAUGACGCAACGCCGCGUGGAGGAUGAAGGUCUUCGGAUUGUAAACUCCUGUUGCUCGGGACGAAAAGCCUCGACCUAAUACGUCGAGGUCUGACGGUACCGAGUGAGGAAGCCCCGGCUAACUCUGUGCCAGCAGCCGCGGUAAUACAGAGGGGGCAAGCGUUGUUCGGAAUUACUGGGCGUAAAGGGCGCGUAGGCGGCCUGCUAAGUCGAACGUGAAACCCCGAGCUCAACUCGGGAACUGCGUCCGAUACUGGCGGGCUUGAAUCCGGGAGAGGGAUGCGGAAUUCCAGGUGUAGCGGUGAAAUGCGUAGAUAUCUGGAGGAACACCGGUGGCGAAGGCGGCAUCCUGGACCGGUAUUGACGCUGAGGCGCGAAAGCUAGGGGAGCAAACGGG
rnacentral:rRNA from 1 species